AUUUACAUAAGAAAAACCUCUUUAGCCUUUUUUCCCAAACUCCAGAAUUCCCCACCACUCCUUUUCUUAUGGCAUUUCGCCGGGUAAGCAGUGUCCCAUUCCUCUUCCAUCUUGUUCUUUAAUUCCGAUUCAACAAACCAAUCCCCCCCUAUCCAUUACCCAAUGGCGUUGUUCAUUACUGUUGUUGUUGUUUUGUUCCUGCUGCAGCUGAGUUCGAGUGUCCGAGUGAACUCGGAGCCGACUCAGGACAAGCAAGCCCUCCUCUCUUUCCUCUCCCAAACCCCACACUCGAACCGUCUCCAAUGGAACGCUUCGGAAUCCGCGUGCGACUGGGUGGGCGUGAAAUGCGACGCGUCACGCUCCUUCGUCUACUCGCUCCGUUUACCCGCCGUCGAUUUAGUGGGUCGGGUCCCACCCGGUACACUCGGCCGCUUAACCCAGCUUCGGAUCCUCAGCCUCCGCUCCAACGCCCUCACCGGCGAGAUCCCUUCCGAUUUCUCCAACCUCAUUUUCCUCCGCAGCCUCUACCUCCAGAAGAACCAAUUCUCCGGCGAGUUCCCUCCGAGUCUCACUCGCCUCACUCGCUUGGCUCGCUUGGAUCUUUCCUCCAACAAUUUCACCGGCCAAAUCCCUUUCUCUGUUAACAACUUAACCCACCUCACUGGCCUCUUCUUAGAACGCAACCAUUUCUCCGGUAAAAUCCCUAGCAUCACUCUCAGGCUUGUUAACUUCAAUGUUUCAUAUAACAAUCUCAACGGUUCAAUCCCCGAGACACUCUCUGCGUUUCCGGAAACUUCCUUCGUCGGAAACAUAGAUCUCUGCGGACCGCCGUUGAAGGACUGUACUCCUUUCUUCCCGGCGCCGGCGCCGUCUCCGUCGGAGAAUUCAACCCCGGUGAAGACACGUAAGAAGUCCAAGAAGCUCUCCACCGGCGCCAUUGUUGCAAUCGUUGUGGGGUCCGUUCUUGGCUUGGCGUUGUUGCUGCUGCUGCUGUUGCUGUGUCUCCGGCGGCGGCGAAGACAGCCCGCGAAGCCGCCGAAGGCGGUGGUGGAGGAGCAUAGCGUGCCGGCGGAGGCGGGGACGUCGUCGUCGAAGGAUGAUAUCACCGGGGGUUCGGCGGAGGUGGAGAGGAACAAGCUUGUGUUCUUCGAAGGGGGAAUUUACAGUUUCGAUUUGGAGGAUUUGUUGAGGGCUUCGGCGGAGGUGUUGGGGAAGGGUAGCGUGGGGACUUCGUAUAAGGCGGUGCUGGAGGAAGGAACCACCGUGGUGGUGAAGAGGCUGAAGGAUGUUGUGGUGACGAAGAAAGAGUUCGAGACGCAAAUGGAGGUUCUGGGGAAUAUUAAGCACGAGAAUGUGGUUCCUCUCAGAGCCUUCUACUUCUCCAAGGACGAGAAAUUGCUCGUUUAUGAUUACAUGUCCGCUGGGAGCUUGUCUGCGCUGCUACACGGGAGCAGAGGGUCUGGGCGAACACCACUCGACUGGGACAGCCGAAUGAAAAUAGCCCUAGGAGCAGCAAGAGGGCUGACAUGCCUCCAUGUGGCAGGCAAGGUGGUCCACGGCAACAUCAAAUCUUCCAACAUCCUCCUCCGGGGACCCGACCAUGAUGCCGGCGUUUCGGACUUCGGCCUCAACCCCUUGUUCGGAAACGGAGCCCCGUCAAACCGUGUGGCGGGAUACCGGGCACCCGAAGUGGUCGAAACCCGGAAGGUGAGCUUCAAGUCCGACGUGUACAGCUUGGGAGUGUUGCUGCUGGAGCUUCUAACGGGAAAAGCGCCAAACCAAGCCUCGCUCGGGGAAGAGGGCAUUGAUCUUCCCAGGUGGGUUCAGUCAGUUGUGCGUGAAGAAUGGACCGCAGAAGUGUUCGAUGCGGAGCUCAUGAGGUUCCAAAACAUCGAGGAGGAGAUGGUUCAACUGUUGCAAAUUGCUAUGGCGUGCGUUUCCGUUGUGCCGGAUCAGAGGCCUAGCAUGCAAGACGUGGUGCGUAUGAUUGAGGACAUUAACCGUGGCGAGACAGAUGAUGGCUUGAGACAAUCUUCUGAUGACCCUUCCAAAGGAUCCGAGGGUCACACACCACCCCCAGAGUCAAGGACUCCACCUAGGUCACUCACACCUUAACAAAUUACUAGACUUGUUGAUUGAAUGAAAAUUCAAAAAAGAGGAAAGGACAACACAAGGUGGUAGUUUGAAAAUUGUUCGUGCAGUCGGAGGGGGGGAGUGAGUUCAAUGAACCGAUUCAGAUUGACCAUUUCAUGAAAUUUACCUCAUUUCUUAAUUUCUUCAAGUUAUUAUUUAUAAUUGUUAUCCUUUGUCCCAAAUCAAGCUUUAUCCUUUUCAAUUCGUCUAGAUACGACUGUCGUAUGUUUACUACGAGGUCAGCUUGUGCAUCCUUUUUUUUGACCUAGCGAGGAGGGCUGUUGUUGCAAAAUCAUUGCAAAAAUUGUGUAUCCACGUCACUUGUUCAUCGAUGACGCAGCAGGGUACUAAACCAAACCAGCUUUUGAUCAAUUAUGAAUGAAAUCAGCAUUGACCUCAGAUGAUUGAUGGGAUUGUGGCUAUGGUGGUGCGAGUGUGGUCUGAAUUCACGUGUUGGUAACUCACAUGGGCACCGGAAGUGGUGGGAAAGAAAUUUAGUGAGAAAUUACAUGGUUGCCCUUGGUGUGGGUGUCCAUUUGUGAGGAAAAAGGGUGGAGAACAGGCUGGCUGGAGUGGGAGUUCUGACAAAUAAAGAAGAGCGUUUGACCCAACCAUGGUUUGAGAGCCGUCGAUGCAUGAGAUUAUGGACCCCUCUAAAUAAUCUAAUCUAUCCCUUGGGCGUAAAAUCCUUGUGUUUUUAAAGAGUUUAUUUUUAUCAACUGGUAAGUUAUUCGAUCAGUAGACUAACCUUUCCUUCGCAGAGCUUCUUGUUCCCUUAA